rnacentral:misc_RNA from 1 species
CCAAACUUGGUCAUUUAGAGGAAGUAAAAGUCGUAACAAGGUCUCCGUUGGUGAACCAUCGGAGGGAUCAUUCACGACGUCCGCGCGCUCCCACUCGGGAGCCGUCGCGGUUUGCUUAGCCCCUGUGAACCGUUCUACCUAAAAACGUUGCCUCGGUGGGCGGCCCAUCCCUGUGAAGGAGGGCGGGCUACCGCCGACGGCUCCUAACAAAGGCUCUAGCCACCGUGGCCCUUUUCUGAUUAUAACAUAUUGCAAACGCUAAAAACUUUCAACAACGGAUCUCUUGGCUCCAGCAUCGAUGAAGAACGCAGC